rnacentral:rRNA from 1 species
UACGUAGGGGGCAAGCGUUGUCCGGAUUUAUUGGGCGUAAAGGGCUUGUAGGUGGCCACGCCAAGUCGGAUGUGAAAUCUCCCGGCUCAACUGGGAGGGGGCAUUCGAUACUGGCGGGCUCGAGGCCGGUAGGGGGAAGUGGAAUUCCCGGUGUAGUGGUGGAAUGCGUAGAUAUCGGGAGGAGCACCAGUGGCGAAGGCGGCUUCCUGGACCGGUUCUGACACUGAGGAGCGAAAGCGUGGGGAGCGAGCCGG